rnacentral:rRNA from 1 species
GUAGGGAAUAUUGGGCAAUGGAUGGAAGUCUGACCCAGCCAUGCCGCGUGCCGGAUGAAGGCGCUCUGCGUUGUAAACGGCUUUUAUUCGGGAAGAAGAGUAGGGAUGCGUCCUUAUGUGACGGUACCGAAUGAAUAAGCACCGGCUAACUCCGUGCCAGCAGCCGCGGUAAUACGGAGGGUGCGAGCGUUGUCCGGAUUUAUUGGGUUUAAAGGGUGCGUAGGUGACCAAAUAAGUCAGUGGUGAAAUACGGUUGCUCAACAAUCGAGGUGCCAUUGAUACUGCUUGGCUUGAAAUAAUUGGAGGCUGCCGGAAUGGAUGGUGUAGCGGUGAAAUGCAUAGAUAUCAUCCAGAACACCGAUUGCGAAGGCAGGUGGCUACGAUUUAUUUGACACUGAGGCACGAAAGCAUGGGGAGCAAACAGGAUUAGAAACCCCUGUAGUCC